UACGUAGGGAGCAAGCGUUGUCCGGAAUCAUUGGGCGUAAAGCGCGCGUAGGCGGCCCCGUAAGUCCGCUGUGAAAGUCAAAGGCUCAACCUUUGAAAGCCGGUGGAUACUGUGGGGCUAGAGUCCGGAAGAGGCGAGUGGAACUCCUGGUGUAGCGGUGGAAUGCGCAGAUAUCAGGAGGAACACCAAUAGCGAAGGCAGCUCGCUGGGACGGUACUGACGCUAAGGCGCGAAAGCGUGGGGAGCGUACAGG
rnacentral:rRNA from 1 species